rnacentral:misc_RNA from 1 species
ACAGUUACAUGGUCAUGCGUCAAGCAUACACUGUACCAAACCCAUUCCGAGUACCUUUGCCUGUUGCUUCCGUGGGGCACGACUCCGGUCGCUCUGGGGAUAUUAUAUCCCGAGGGAGUCCCUGCGGGAGGUAACCGUUCAAACCCUUGAACUCCAAUGCCUUCUGUCUGAUGUUGUUUAUAGCAAACGUUA